GGCGGAGGAGGAAUAUGUCUCCUGAGGCGCUGCCAGGAAUAAUAGUGAUUUUGCUCUUCUGCAGUCCAAGAGCAGCUCACCAUGGAAGGAUAGAUUUAUUUCUUCAGGUGAUUCUUUAGGUCUGCAUGAGAUUUUCUUUCCAUUCCUGAAAAUCUUACACUGUAGAGAUGGCAUCAGACUGGGAAACCUAAAAUAGGAUGCGUUGAACUGGCCGGCAGAGAAAUCUUGACAUCAUCUCAAUGACUUUGUCUCCUUCAAGGGCAGGGGUGCCCUGCUCUCAGAAACCAUGAGACUCAACACGCCUCUGAAGCUUUUACAUUCAGCCCCUGAGGAGGACAGUAAUUGGAGGUUCACAUCUCUUUGGUUCCUAUGCUAAAAGCUUCAAGCAAAGCA